rnacentral:lncRNA from 1 species
GAAUUUCAUCCCAAUCCCAAAAUCAUUGGAAUUUCAUCCCAAUCCCAAAAUUGCAGGAAUUUCACCCCAAUCCCAAAUCUGUAGGAAUUUCACCCCAAUUUUGGGAAAUUUGGGGAAUUUCACCCCAAUUUUAGGAAUUUCAUCCCAAUUCCAAAAUUUUAGGAAUCUCACCCCAAUCCCAAAAUCGUUGGAAUUUCACCUCAAUCCCAAAACUGCAGGAAUUUCACCCCAAUCCCAAAAUUCCGUGAAUUUCACCCCAAUUCCAGGAAUUUCACCUCAAUCCCAAAACUCCGGGAAUUUCAUCCCAGUCUCAAAAUUCUGGGAAUUUCAUCCCAAUCUCAAAAUUCUGGGAAUUUCACCCCAAUCCCAAAAUUCUCCCCAAUUUAAGGAAUCUCACCCUAAUCCAAAUUUUUGGAACCUCACCCCAAUCCCAAAAAUCCCUUCCCAGCCUCUUUUCCCCAUCAAUUUUCAACCGCCAAUCCCCAAAAAAAAAAAAUCCGGGAAUUCCGCCCCACCCUCCCCUUCCUAAAAUCCCUCAAAAUCCCAAAUUUCCAGCUGGAAAAUUCCCGUUUUUCUCCCUCCAAACCCUUGGAUCAAUCCCAUUUUUUUUCCCUUUUCUCCAUCCCGUUUCUCCCCCGUAAAUCCCAGAUUUUUUUUUUCCCGGGAAUUUCCCAUUUUUCCCGCCGUUAAAUCCCGGGAAUUCGGGGACGCAAUCAGGUCGUAGAAAGCGUAAACCGAUUUAUUUUCCGAUUCUUUUUUUUUUUGUUGUUGCUAUGUACAAGUUUAAUGGAGAAAUCUUGGAAACAAAAAACAAAUCCCCAAAAAAAUAAAAUAAAUAAAAAUCGGGAUUAUCCUGGAAUUUUUUUCCCUGUUUUUUUUUUUGCUUUUUCCGGGUUUUUCCCAUCGGGAUCGUCGCGAUUUUUUUUUGGGGGGGGAAUUUUUACCGACGGCGGCGGCGACGGGAACGGGAAUUUGGGAAUUUUAUUUGGGAUAAAUCGGGAAGGAGGGAACGGUUCCGGUUGGGAUUUUCCUCCUUGGGGAAAAACGGGAAAAUCCCAAAUUUUUUUUUUGGGAUUCGGGACGCGACGGGCGCGGAGCGAAGGAGUCGAACCCGGAGCGGUUCCGGGAAUUCCCAGGAAAACGCUUGGAAAACGGCAACAGCGAAAGGAAAAUGAAAGGGGAGUUCAAAUAAACGAGGAUUCGGGACGCGACGGGCGCGGAGCGGAGGAGUCGAACCCGGAGCGGUUCCGGGAAUUCCCAGGAAAACGCUCGGAAAACGGCAACAGCGAAAGGAAAAUGAAAGGGGAGUUCAAAUAAACGAGGAUUUCCGGAAUUCUGGGAGAUUUUGGGAUGCGAACCCCGAAAUUCGGGAACGAAUCCUGCGGGAAAACGAAAUCCUCUCGGAGACGCCGAAAAAAAUCUUCGGGAAUUUGGGAUUUUUUGGGGGGUUUUUUUGGCUCAAAAAAAGAACAAAAAAUG